UCCAGAAACCACCCGUCCCCCUGGGGGGCUGACGCCCGCGGGGAGGCCAGCUGGCCGCGGAGGGCCGAGAGGGGCCGCGGGCCUGUGACGGGGCGGCGGGCAGCCACCUGCCCCGUUUGCGGGUGGGGAGGCUUCUCCAGCCCGGGGAGAUGCGCUCGGGAACUGUCGGCACACGGGUGGCGGGGGGAGCGCUGGGGUCGCCCUGACGUCCAGGCCAGCUCUCUCCUCAAACUCAGUGCCGCUCACUGUGGGAGCUGCUUUGCAGCAAACAGGCAUCUUCUCUUGACCGCAGCUCCCCAAGGUUCAGCGUCUACAGAUUAAACCAACCAUGGAUGGAAAUUUCAACCUGCAGUAGGCUGAGUGCACAGUGGAGAAAGCGGGGAAGACAGAGAAGCAACCGAAGAAACUCUGCACGCAAGUGAGCCCUCGAAGUUCAGACUUGUGUUGUUCACGGAUCAGCUGUAACUGGCAGGUGGUCCUCCUGACAGGAACGAGGGUGUGAGGACACAGCGGUGUCAGGGAGACCAACACAGAAACACAGGAAACCCAGAAACACGAGGGGAAGAGGCCACGUAAAGACUGAGACUGAGAUAGGAGUGAGGCAACGACAAGCUACGGACUGAUGCCACCACCCGCGUGCAGGAGGCGGCCGGGAAGGAGUCUUCCGGAGAUGUCAGAGGGAACGCGGCACUGCUGACACUUUAACUGAAGAUUUCUAGCCCCCAGAACCAAAAGGGAGUACAUUUUUGUUGUUUUAAGCCAUCCAGUUUGUGAUACUUUGUCACGGCAGCCCAGGAAACUGAUACACUGUAGAAACAUGUCUUUUAGCUAUGUGAUUUAUCCCUAUUCCCAUAUUUGGACAAAGAAAUGAAAUCGUAUGGUAUGACCAAAACCAUCUGAAUCUUUUGCAGUGGGUGGCAUCCUUGGUUACAUGUUAGAAUCCCUUGGGAGCUUUUUAAAAAUCCCACUGCCCAAGCUGCACCCCAGCCCAAUUAAGUCAGAAACUGUGGAGGCGGGAGGGAAACGUCAGUGUCUCUUAAUGCCUCCUGGGUAAUCCCGGUGUGCAGCCAAGGUCACCAGAACCAGGCAUCCGGGUGGCGCUCCAGCUGCACAGUCUUUAACAAGACCACGGGCUUUGGAGUUUGUCAAAUCUUGGUUUGCUGUCUGGCUUUGCCACCUACUAGCUAUGUCCUUGGGCAAGUCAUUUAAUUUACUUGAUAUUUAUGCUUUCAAACUGAAAAUGAGAUUGUGAAAAUUCAUCUUUUUAAGUGUGUAAAAUAUCUCAAAAUGCCAGGCUCCGAGUAGACCCAUAAUAAGUACUACUUUCCUUUCAUUUUUACAACACGUAGGCGCAUUUUAGUCGGAUGCGUAAGGAUCCAGGCUCUGAGCAAGACGGGGGGCAAUCAGAUGCUGAUUUCAGCACUUACGGUAUCGGCCCUCAGGCGUUUCUCCACACUCCGUUUCCUUAUCUAUAAAACGGGGCCUCGGAGAGUCAUUAUGAAGUUUACAUGGGAUACAUAAUACGAUAAUUUGAUCCGGCUAAAGCACUUAAGACAGUAUCUGGCACAUUUAAGCAUUCAAUAAAUGUUAGCUCAUAGUAUAGGCAUUACCCAAUAACACUGUGCAUGCUCCCCCUUGAAAAUACAGAACCCCACAUGAUAAAUUCCAGCAUCGCUUCCCUUCCCCAUCAGAAGCAGGGUGAGCUGGACCAGCCCAGGAGUCAGGAGACUUGAUCUCUGAGCUCAACUGAGAUACACUAAUCUUCAGGACCUGGAUCAAGUCACUCUUCCCUGCUCCUCAUUUCUGGACUCAACUUGUAAAAGAAGGAUGUAAUAAGCUGACCCCUAUGGUACCUUCUAGCAUUAAAAACAA